AUGUUAUUUUGUCCUAUGACAAGCAAAAAUUUAAUAAUGGCUUGGUUGUCCCAAGGGUUCGGUUGUUUUCCUAUUCAAGUGGUACAUGAGUUGAGUUUAGAACAUCGUGAGACAGUUC
rnacentral:rRNA from 1 species